GAUGAACGCUGACAGAAUGCUUAACACAUGCAAGUCUACUUGAACUUCGGUUUGGGUGGCGGACGGGUGAGUAACGCGUAAAGAACUUGCCUUACAGUUAGGGACAACAUUUGGAAACGAAUGCUAAUACCUGAUAUUAUGAUUUUAGGGCAUCCUAAGAUUAUGAAAGCUAUAUGCACUGUGAGAGAGCUUUGCGUCCCAUUAGCUAGUUGGAGAGGUAACGGCUCACCAAGGCGAUGAUGGGUAGCCGGCCUGAGAGGGUGAACGGCACAAGGGGACUGAGACACGGCCCUUACUCCUACGGGAGGCAGCAGUGGGGAAUAUUGGACAAUGGACCAAAAGUCUGAUCCAGCAAUUCUGUGUGCACGAUGACGUUUUUCGGAAUGUAAAGUGCUUUCAGUUGGGAAGAAAAAAAUGACGGUACCAACAGAAGAAGUGACGGCUAA
rnacentral:rRNA from 1 species